rnacentral:rRNA from 1 species
UUAGUGGCGGACGGGUGAGUAACGCGUGGGUAACCUGCCCCAUACCGGGGGAUACCACCUGGAAACAGGUGCUAAUACCGCAUAAGCGCACGGGAGCGCAUGCUCCUGUGUGAAAAACUCCAGUGGUAUGGGAUGGACCCGCGUCUGAUUAGCCAGUUGGCAGGGUAACGGCCUACCAAAGCGACGAUCAGUAGCCGGCCUGAGAGGGUGGACGGCCACAUUGGGACUGAGACACGGCCCAAACUCCUACGGAAGGCAGCAG